CCUCCCCGUGUGUUCUUGUGCUAUACCUUCUGCCUGGAAUGACUCUCUCAACCUUGGUUGACUGGAAAACACCUACCUUCCUUCCUAUAUGCAACUCAAAUGACACCUGCUUCAUGAAGUUUCUCCUGACUUUCCCAGGUGACGUAGAGGAUUCCUCUCUGAUUCCCCAAAGUAUCAUACACAGCUCUACCCUUGUUUUUGUCAUCAUCAUCAUCAUUACCACCACCAUCAUCAGAUUGUAUUGAAUUUGUUUCUUUCCUGGCCAUCUGCAUACCAAAAUGCUAUUUCCUUGAGAGCAGCUAUCAUGUGAGAGAAUAAAUGAUUGCAUCCUUUAUUUUUUAUGUUUUAAUGUUUUACAAUAUAAACAGAUGCAAAGGUGGGAGAGAGUAGGUAAUAAAUGAAUCUCAUGUACAUUUUUCUUUCACUGAAAAGUUUUGUGUCUUAAGUAAAUCUUCUCUAGGUAAGCUUUAACUUCUUUGAGAUUUAGAUUGACCCCAAGCAGGUUAUGAACUGUUGUGGUUUUUCUCUUAAACUUCACCUUCACUUCCUGUUAUGCUCCUGUCUCUAUUCCUCACUAUCCAUGACAACUCCUCCCCAGAAUGAGAACAGUUAAAACUGUCUUUAUAACCUCAGAGCAACAAUCAGAACUAGCUAAGACUCCAUAAACCACCCCCUAAAAGCAAAAAAAAUACAGAUAAUAGGAUGUAUAGACAUAUAGAUCCUAAACACACUUUUAAAAUCAUUUUCCUCUUUGUUCCCCUCUCUCUUACAUUUUUGGGACUGGUCCAAACUUUUUUUUAGAAUACCUUGAUCUUUACGUCCUCAAUUAAGGCUGAAACUUGUCUUGCUUCAAUCUGUUGCAGUUUCCUUUUUCAUGACAUUAUAAGAAUCAACUAAAUUUUCAAGAGUCCAGAAUGUUGCAACCAAAGAAGCACUUUCAUAUUUGAAGAAAGCAUAAUCAAAAUUCUUUCCCCAUAUGCUACCUUUUCAACAGGGCUAUUUUUUCACCCUUAGAAAUUUAUAGUGUCAGAAUUCCACAAAGAAGUCAAGAGUUGAGAAUUAAGCCCAUAAUGAUUUUAUAACUAUAUUCCAGAGGAAUUGCCUCUUGUCCAGAUUCCAUUCUAGGGUCCCUGGGUUCUCCCACACCUGAUUCUGUGCCAUAGACCUGGACCAAGCUUAAAAGAAUCACUGUUCAAAAAGGACAUAAGUUUCUAUUUUCAUCCAAUUCAACAUGUGGUCUGAGAUGCAUAUUGGAGAACAGGGCUUUUUUUUUUUCUUAUGAUAUUUAAAAAUUUCUUGAUACCAUCUGGAAACAGGUUUUCUUUAACAAUGUCAGUCUUGCCUCACAUUUCUCUUGCUUCCUUUCUAGUUGCUGUGGUUGUGGUUGGAGAGACUUUUCUCAUUGCACACCUCUUUUUGGUGAGCUCUUCCUCAGGCUCCAUGGGAUAGGAGUGGAGAGAAGGGUAGAUUUCACCCUCUCAGCAAUUUUCCCACUCAGUCCUGACACCUUUCAGCUCACACGUCUUGGGUUUCUCUCUUUUCUAAUUGCCUCUUCUCUAGUAAGUCCUGGGUCCACAUCUACUUUCACCUUGAUAUCUUGAAACUUUUAUGCUUCUUGAGGGACAAGUAGCUCAUAGAGCUAACUAGGAAAACUUUAACAUAAUCACAUAUCAAUAAGUAGUUGAAGGAGGGAAAGAGUGAAUGACUUACCAGUUAUGAUUUUCUUUCUCUGGGCUAUUUGCCUCUAAAUUUUUGAUUCCUGAAAGAAAAGACUCUGUUUAUAUUUACUAAAUACUUUCUUUUGCAUUUUUUUUUAUUUUCACUUUUUUUCUGGUAAGCUAGCUUUGACUGGUAGUCAGGACAAAUUCUUUAGUACAAAAGAGGUGCUGAUGCAGGAACAAAUAUAUCCAGCCCCAAGUAUGCAGCCCAAGUACGGACUGAUUCAACAUCUAAGUGCCCUAUGUCUAUAAAAUUAGCUCAGUAGAAAGCUUUUGUGUUAAGGCUAUAAUACUUCUAAUCAGCAUAACUUUGAAGUCUUCUUUCUAUGAAGCUGCCCAAGUAAGUAAUUCUCAGUCUUUGCAUGCCAUCUUUCAGCCAUGGCUUUGUUAAGCUGACUUAAAGCUUAAUCACAAUCACAAAACUUUUAGGGGGUUUAGCAAGAUACUUUGAUAUUUCUACUUUACUGUCUAAAAGAACUGAGAAAGAUGACCUCAUUGUGAGUGAACGGAUGUCAAUAGCCAUUACAACCUGUCACUACUAAUGUUCUCUGGUUGUCCCACGUCACUUGGCACUGGAAGUCAUGAAAUUAAUCCUAAGAAAAUUAACUCUCACCUUUCAUGAGAAUCCUGUGGCUUGUACAUGGGCUUGCCUGUCUUUGAAUUGAAGGCACAGACAUUUCUACACAUAUUCAAUCAGGAGCCUUGGGGUUUGGGGGCAAGUUUGGCCCAGGACUUCUGCCUGCUCUUCUUUCUACAUGGUCUUAAUCCAGAGCACCAUAAGAAUGUACUCAGUAGUGGAGACAGUUCACUGGAGGUGGAAAGUUGCAAAGACUUAAAAUAGUUGCAAAAACUAGAGUCAAGAGUAAUUUCUCUGCUUAUCGCCUAUCCUCUUUAUGGCUGGAACAGCUAACCUUGAUGAGAAGUGCAAGACUUAUCCCAUUUUAGCAUCAAGUGCUGGAGCAUGGAACAUAUUUUCAUAUAGAAAUAAAGUAAAUGAGGUGUGUGUGGUUGGAAUAACACUGUUAUUGCUUCCCAUCACUUGAAACUAGGUCUUUUGUGGAUGAAACCAGGACUCCAGCCUCCCAUGAUUAUAGUCCUCUGAGGCUAUACCAACUUAAAACCAAAGUUGGGGAUGUAACUUGUUUAUAAAAAUAUAAACUAGGAUCUGGUCAAGACAGAAAUGUAAGCUCCCAUUGUUGGUUAUACUGGAAUCACCCAACCAUGCAAUUCUCUGGUGACAACCUCAAACUUAAUAUUUAGAACUGGAAAUAAUUGCCCAAACAUUACUCACCAAGAUUAGAAUAAGUAUUAUACUCAUUUCAGUGUUCAGUACAAGAGCUGAGUAAUACAAGAAAAAAUUACUGAAACUUUGGAAGGAAGCAAUUAAAGUAAUGUUGCAAAAAGGAGGGAACGUUCCCUCACUGUGAGGGGGUUAGAUUUGAAAUUGUUCUGCUAUAAUUUCAGCCUCAAUCAGCCUCCUUGACAAUUUGUAGACAGACAUAUAUUCCUUUCAAACUUGUAUCUUUUAUCAUCUAGUUAGAGGAAAAGACAGAUUUUUUAAAAUUAUCUUCUGGAGUUUAUGGAAAUAGGCCAUAGUCUAUUCAUUAUUUUUCUGUUUUCCACUGUGGCCCCUAUUUACCUUAACCAGUAAAUUGAAGAGGAAAAAUGAAAUCUAGCUGGAUUUUCCAAAAUCAUAAAGGUUGAAGAGACAAACUCAGGAAAAGUUAUCCACUAGAAAGGGAAGAGUUCUCUUCACUAGUCUUCUAUUUAUUGAGUGCUAGCCUGGGUCUGGGAUACAGAGUGAGACCUGGCCCCCCCUGUGGGCAUGGGGGAGGUAUAAUUACAUAUUGAAACAAGAACUGGAAAAGAAUUUUCAUAAAAUUCACGGUUUGAGUGUAGGUAGCAGGGAAUCCAACCUGGCCCCAGGAAUCUAGAGGCAUCUUUGAGGAAGCUGGGAUCUCAAGGAAGGAUAAGAACCAGGGAAAAAUGGGUAGAGUGGGAAGAAAUUCCACAGUGAGGCACAAAAUUUAGUGUGAGGGAGCAGAACCUAGAGGGGAGAGUGAAGGAAGUGGGAGUACACCAAGAAAGUAUGUAGCGAUGAACAAAGAGCCAGGAGACAAAACAUGAAAGGCAUUUUAAACCCUAUUACAGAUUUAAACUUCAUUCUGAAACACAUGGGAGUGGGGUUACAGGUUGGUGGUUGAUAGUCUGACUGCAUAUGCAUUUUCAGUGCUAUCUCUGGCUGGAGAAUGGAAAAGAGACAGAGACAAAUGCCAGAGAGAAAGAGAGAGAGUAUAGUGGAGUAGAGAGAUAAGAUGGAAAGAUUCAGGAUAUUUUUAGUAAAUAAGCUCAAUGUCAUUAGGAAAUGGGUUUAAUGUAAAAAGCAAAGUGACUCGUAGGUUUUGGAUUUUAGAUUUGGGUGGAGGGUAGUGCCACCAGCAUAGGAAAUAAUGUAAAAGACCCAGGUUUGGAGAUGGGAAAUUUCCAUGAUUUCUGUUUUGGGCAUAUUGAAUUUUAGGUACUUUUGAGAUAUGACAGGAGAUAGAACAGGUUUUAAAAUUGUAAUAAAGAUGAUUCAGAUAUAUAGAGAACAUUUGGCUUCUUAAUUUUCUAUAACUGAUUCUUUAUUCCUCAUAAACUGUUCCUUCACCUAGUAGCAGAGGUGCUAGAAUACUUAACUUGACAAUAAUGACAUUUUGUAUUUCACUUUCUCUUCUGGUUGAAAUUGUAUCUCUUAUUUUCUUCAGUCUCUUGGGGGUAGUAGGUUCAGUCUUUGUGAUUCCUCUUCCCCUUUCUGUACUUCCUGAGGUGGUGUCUGGGUAAUGGUCAGAGGGGUUUAUGUGGCAGUGGCAGUGGGCAAAGGAGCUUUGGAUUCACAAAGAUCUCUGGUUCUUACCUGGAUUUUUCCUCAGUGUGGUUGGUCAACUCUAAGCCCUGGACUGAUGUUCUAUUCCCUUUAACCAUGGGGGACAUGACAUGGGCAUCUAGUUCAAAAGUAAACUCAACUACCCCACAUUAUCUGAUUCUUUUCAUAUGAAUUUGUUUGUCUGUUUUUUUCUUUUACCAUAGCACCUUUCUACUUUCACGUGUCUGGUUAUAUUCUGACAUCUUUUACAUCUUUCCACUACCAGUCAGAAAAUUUAUAAGGGGAAGGAUUUUGGGUCGGUUUUUCUUUGCAUCUAGCUCUGAAUGUAGUGCCUGGCAUACAAAUAUGCAAAGAGUAAUUAAUGGAUUGAAUUGAAAGGAAUCUAUUCCCAAAACCUGUUGGUACCAAUUUGGGGUGCCAAAAUUAUUUCCAUUGGCUACUUUAUUUCUUUUAAGCUGCAAAACUUUUUUUAUUAUAGUGACUGGUAUGGAGGAGAAAUAAGGCAGUCUGAAUGAAAGGAGACUUCUUGUGAUAUUGGAACUUUUCCUAAGUCUCCUUCUUUGUCUCAUCUUGAAAUAGUUACCCCCUCUUUUACAAGUACUGAACAACAAUUCUUAUCUAGUCCUGUUUAGAAGAGGUCAGGCUUUCGAGUGGCAAUGUUGGAGUUCCCGUCGUGGUGCAGUGGUUAACAAAUCCAACUAGGAACCACGAGGUUGUGGGUUCGGUCCCUGGCCUUGCUCAGUGGCUUAGGAUCGGGCAUUGCCGUGAGCUGUGGUGUAGGUUGCAGAAGAGGCUUGGAUCCCACGUUGCUGUGGCUCUGGCGUAGGCUGGUGGCUACAGCUCCAAUUAGACCCCUAGCCUGGGAAACUCCAUAUGCCACGGGAG
rnacentral:lncRNA from 1 species